UGGGGAAUAUUGGGCAAUGGGCGCAAGCCUGACCCAGCAACGCCGCGUGAGGGAAGAAGGCUUUCGGGUUGUAAACCUCUGUCCUUGGUGACGAAACAAAUGACGGUAGCCAAGGAGGAAGCCCCGGCUAACUACGUGCCAGCAGCCGCGGUAAUACGUAGGGGGCGAGCGUUGUCCGGAAUUACUGGGCGUAAAGUGUGCGUAGGUGGCCUUUUAAGUUGGAGGUGAAAUACCCGGGCUUAACUUGGGGGGGGC
rnacentral:rRNA from 1 species